AAAUUGAAGAGUUUGAUCAUGGCUCAGAUUGAACGCUGGCGGCAGGCCUAACACAUGCAAGUCGAACGGUAACAGGAAACAGCUUGCUGUUUCGCUGACGAGUGGCGGACGGGUGAGUAAUGUCUGGGAAACUGCCUGAUGGAGGGGGAUAACUACUGGAAACGGUAGCUAAUACCGCAUAAUGUCGCAAGACCAAAGAGGGGGACCUU
rnacentral:rRNA from 2 species